GGAGAGAUGCCCGAGUGGUUAAAGGGGACGGACUGUAAAUCCGUUGGCUCAGCCUACGUUGGUUCAAAUCCAACUCUCUCCA
rfam:Rhizobium tibeticum isolate CCBAT85039 genome assembly, contig: CCBAT85039_contig6